ACAGAGAGUUAAAGAGAAAAAUCCCCUGACCUCAUGGUCCUCCUUCCAUUCUCCCACCAGGGCUCCCUAUUGGUCCACUGGAAACCAGAGGGCAGGUGAGGCAGCAAGUAAAUACAGGUCGUCCUGGUCGGCCUCCAGGAGCAGAGGGCGGAGUGGAAGAGGGUGGAGGAUGGACAUGGAGGUUCAAAGAGAAGACACCCCCCUGGUGGCCUCCCAAGGCACUGCAGUGGAGCAGCGGAUCAGCACCCCUGGGGCCUUGGUAACAACUUGAAAACAGGCUGAGUCCUCAAGAGGAUGGCCAUUCCAGGAAGCCGAGAGUGGGAGCCCCGCUGGUGGAGAUGCCAGGCAUCAGGCCACGGAGGUAAGCGCAUGAUCAGCGCCGUCCUGCGGGCUCUUGCCUUGGAAGGGAA
rnacentral:lncRNA from 1 species